AAUAGCCAAUAGUUUCCUGUUCCCGACGUCGUAAUUCUUUUCCGAAUCAGACAGCCUUUUAGAAAAGGGAUGGAGGGGUUCGGUAUGCGAUUGUCUUUGUGAUAACACAGCUCCUACACCUGAUUCUGAAGCGUCUACUUCCAUAACAAAGGGAAGGGAAGGAUCAGGAUGGUGUAGCACAGGGGCAGUGGCAAAUGCCUUUUUGAGAGUCUCAAAGGCUUUAACGGCUUCAGGAGUCCAAACCCUGGGUUGCAAACCUUUUUUAGUCAGUUUCGUGAUUGGAGAAAUAACGGAUGAAAAGUUUUUACUAAACCUCCAAUAAUAAUUGGAAAAGCCUAUAAAUCACUGUAUUGCCUUAAGGCCUUGGGGAAGAGGCCAAGACAAUAUGGCUUCUAAUUUAGAAGGAUCCAUGCUGAAUCCCUGUUCAGAAAUGACAUACCCUAGGAAUUGUACUGAUUUUUGGUCAAAUAAACAUUUCUCUAAUUUGCAAUAAAGAACGUUCUGCAACAAUCUCUUAAGUACCAUCCUCACAUGAGUAUGGUGUGACUUCAAAUCAGGAGAAUAUACAAGUAUGUUGUCAAGGUAAACUACGGCACAGAUAUGCAGUAAAUCUCUAAGAACAUCAUUUAUGAGGUCCUGAAACACAGCAGGAGCAUUACACAGUCCAAAAGGCAUGACUAGAUACUCUUAAUGCCCACUGCGUGUAUUGAACGCUGUUUUCCAUUCAUCAUUCUCUUUUAAACCAGGUUGUAAGCCCCCCUGAGGUCUAGUUUAGUAUAAUAUUUAGAACCUUUAACACGAUCAAACAACUCAGUGAUGAGAGGGAUAGGAGAAGCGUUUUUAACCGUUAUAUUAUUCCGACCCCUGUAGUCUAUACAUGGCCUCAAAUCGCCCUCUUUCUUAGCAACGAAAAAAGAAACCAGCACCAGCAGGAGAGGAGGGCCUUCUGAUAAAACAUUUACGUAAGGAUUCCCGUAUAUGUACUCCUUCAUGACCUGAUUUUCUUUCUCAGAAAGCGGGUAGACCUUACCCCUAGGGGGCAUAGUACCUGGUAACAGGUUUAUGGCACGGUCAUAAUCCCGGUAUGGAGGUAGCUUAUCAGCCUCCCUUUUUUCAAAAACCAAUGCGAGGUCUGCAUACACAGAAGGGACAGAAACAGAAAGUGGUUUAGCUGUUGGCACAUUAAGUAAACAAACAGAAAGUAAACGGGCCAUACAGUCUCGUUGACAAGAUUCCCCCAGGAGAGUAUAUCCAAACAACCCCAAUCAAGUACUGGGUUGUGUUUAACUAACCAGGGAAAACCCAGAACAAUGGAAGCUGUAGGGGAGUCAAUUAUUUGGAAGGUUAACCUUUCCUUAUGUAAGGCACCCACAGUCAUAACCAUUUCUUGGGUUUCAUGGGUCACCAGAGGUUUAUCAAGUGGUCUACCAUCUAUGGCCUCAACGGCCAAGGGUGUGGCCUUUUGGAUCAGAGUCAAGGUUGCGGUUUUAGCAAAGUUCUCAUCCAUAAAGUUGUCUGCAGCGCCUGAAUCGAUCAAGGCUUUGGUUUUUAUGGUAGUCUGAUUGACCAAAAGAGUAACCUUAAUAAAUGGUCUAGAGAUGGAGACAUGAGGGGAAAAAGUCAUAACACCCGAGGCCGACCCCUCUCUAGGCCUUAGGUGCUGAAGUUUCCCUGCAAAUUAGGACAGUUUCUUCGGAGAUGCCCCCUCUUUCCACAGUAAAGGCAUAACCCCUCUGUCCUGCGAUAUGCUCUUUCAGUUUCAGUCAACCCUAUAGCACCCAAUUGCAUGGGUUCGGGAGAUGGUUGAGGUAAUGCAGUACUGGGUAAAGCAGGUAGCACCUAUGUAUUCAUCCUACUUUGACUACGCUUCUCUCUAAUACGGUUGUCAAUGAGAAUGAUAUAAUCUAUUACGUCAUCCAAGAGAACAGGCAAUUCCCUGGACACUAUUUCAUCUAGUAUGUAAGCGGCCAAACCCUCCUGAAAGGCUGUUACGAGGGCGUCGUUAUUCCAAACCACUUCAGCUGCUAGAGUGCGGAAUUCAAUAGUAUAAUCCGCUACUGAUCUAUUACCUUGUUGGACCCUAAGCAGAGCCUUGCCAGCUGAAGCAGCCCUACCGGGUAGAUCAAAUGUGCGUUUGAAAGCUGUCAAAAAGUCUGCAAAGGACAUCGGGGACGUAUUGUCCCACAUGGGACUAGCCCAUGUUAAAGCUUUCCCGGACAAGUGGUUAAUUAAAAAAGAAAUUUUGGUUCUAUCAGUGGGGUAGGAACGAGGAUUCAUCACCAAAUGACCACGACACAAUGCUGGAUCACCACUAUAGCACUGUGGUGGCGUCAUGUGAACCACGUGAGCAGGAACGGGUACUGGAUCGGGAAUGGGUUCUGGCACAGCAGCAACAGCUUCUUGAACGGCAGGUUGCAAGUGGGCAGUACGAGACAGUAUGGUUUGUAAAGCCUGGGCAAACUGAUCCAUACGGUGGUCUAAACGAUCCAUUCUAGCCUCCUGAUUUACUAACAGCUGUGGAAUGUCAGCAGGUUCCAUGGUGGCCCUGUUGUAAUGUCACGAUUCGGGAACCUAACACGCUAACAGGUCACAGGAAGGAAGGGUGCUAUACCGGUCCUUAGAAUGGCCGGGUUAAGCACACUAAGAAUAGUUAGGAGACAAGCCAAGUAAAGGGAGCCAGAAAACACGAGAACGAGAAACAAGCCGAGGUCAAAGGAAUGGAGAAUACAGGAAAGUCGGAAUAACGAGCCAAAUAAACGGUAACCAGAGAGCAACAUGAACAAACUGCAACACAGGAAAGACAGGAAUACAGAGACAGGAAAGGUAAGUAUAUAACAGCUGUGCUUAAUUCUGAUUGGAUAACUUCCAAUCAGAAUUAAUAAUCACACGUGGGAGAUAUCUAUACCUCCCACUGUGAUUAGAUAUUGUGGCUUUAACGCCGGGUCACGUGAGUGCCCUGACACCACUCUCCGUACUCGGCACCUCCCUUCAUUCUCACUGUCAACCCUCAACACUCUGGCACCCCCCUCCAUACACUCUGACACCCUCCUGCUCUUUUACACUCACCCUGCCACAGUUACCCCUUUACUCACCCUGUCACCCCCUGAAGGCAAUCAUUAUACACGCUGUCAUAAACUUGGUGCCAAAGACCACAGGCAGUACACAAACAUACACAUGCUCAGAGAAACAUACAUACAUAUACAAGGAUACUCAUUGCCAGACACACACUCUCAGGCACACACAGGUAGACAAUGCAACGAUGUAUACAGUUGACUCAUGUAUGAGUUUCGCCUAAGGCCUCGCCAAGUCUAGAGCCGCCACUGGUCUAAGGUAAAUGAAAGUUGUUGUUUUUUACUGUAAGAACAAUAGGGAUAUGGAAUUCUCUACCUGAAGAAGUAGUUUUAUCAAAGGCUGUAAAUAUAAUAUUCAAUUAUAUGAUUUUUCAACUGUAGGGUAAUAGCUUCUUGAUCCAAGGAUAAAUCUGACUGCCAUUCUGGGGUCAAGAAGGAAUCCCUAGUUUGUUGUAAAUGUGGAAGUGCUUUAAACUGUUUCUUUGCCUUCUUUUGGAUCAACAGCAAAACACAGAUGUGAGGAAGGCUGAACUUGAUGGACACAUGUCUCUUUUCAGCCUUUGUAACUGUCAGGAUCCUAUCCUGACAAUCAAGAUAUUGUUUUAUUUUAUUGCUGCAAUACCUGUUCUCUCCUCUAGUGGCCUCUCUAGCCACUAGUCAAUCCUCAGUUGCACUCACCUGCCUCAUAUGAUCUUCCAAGUCUGCUAUAAAAGGCCACACCCAACUUUUCACAUGGUCUAUACAUUGAAGUCAGUGUUCUGACAUAGAUCUUCUGAUCCUGGCUCCUGAAAACAUCCUGAUCCUCUAUUUAGACUCUGUGUGUCCCGUCGCCGGAAUCCUCCUGAAACUCUUAUCUUCAACUACUGCAACUCUGCAAGAUCCUGUAAGCAACCUGUAUUACAUUAUACUGAAAUCUGUAUAAUCUGUAUAAUCAACUGCUGCAACUCUGCAUAAUCCUUUAACCCCUUAAGGACACAUGACAUGUGUGACAUGUCAUGAUUCCCUUUUAUUCCAGAAGUUUGGUCCUUAAGGGGUUAAGCAACCUGUACUAUAUUAUACUGAAAGUACUUACCAGCUUUAACCAUUUAAACCCUGUAUCAUCCUGAACCUAGCUGCAGUGUGACAUUCCAUAG